rnacentral:tRNA from 1 species
GUUUCGGUGCUGGAAUCGGCAGACAGGGGAGUCUCAAAAACUUCUGCGCAAGCAUGUGGGUUCAAGUCCCAUCCGAAACA